rnacentral:rRNA from 1 species
AACCUUUACAAUGCCGGCAACGGCGAUAAGGGGACCUCGAGUGCUUCGAUACAAUCGAAGCUGUCUAGUUGCCUAAAAAGCAAUUGAUAGCAAGGGCCGGGCAAGACCGGUGCCAGCCGCCGCGGUAACACCGGCGGCUCGGGUGGUAACCGCUAUUAUUGGGUCUAAAGGGUCUGUAGCCGGCUUAGUUAGUCUCUUGAGAAGUCUGGCCGCUCAACGGUCAGGCGUUCAGGGGAUACUGCUAAAGCUCGAGACCGGGAGAGGUGAGAGGUACUUCAGGGGUAGGGGUGAAAUCUUGUAAUCCUUGAAGGACCACCAGUGGCGAAGGCGUCUCACCAGAACGGCUCUGACGGCAAGGGACGAAAGCUAGGGGCACGAACCGG